GACGAACGCUGGCGGCGUGCUUAACACAUGCAAGUCGAACGGAAAGGCCCUGCUUUUGUGGGGUGCUCGAGUGGCGAACGGGUGAGUAACACGUGAGUAACCUGCCCUUGACUUUGGGAUAACUUCAGGAAACUGGGGCUAAUACCGGAUAGGAGCUCCUGCUGCAUGGUGGGGGUUGGAAAGUUUCGGCGGUUGGGGAUGGACUCGCGGCUUAUCCGCUUGUUGGUGGGGUAGUGGCUUACCAAGGCUUUGACGGGUAGCCGGCCUGAGAGGGUGACCGGCGACAUUGGGACUGAGAUACGGCCCAGACUCCUACGGGAGGCAGCAGUGGGGAAUAUUGCACAAUGGGCGGAAGCCUGAUGCAGCAACGCCGCGUGCGGGAUGACGGCCUUCGGGCUGUAAACCGCUUUCGCCUGUGACGAAGCGUGAGUGACGGUAAUGGGUAAAGAAGCACCGGCUAACUACGUG
rnacentral:rRNA from 1 species